GGAGAUGGUCAAAGUUGGACAAUUUGAACCCAGAAAAGAAUUUGAAGAUGUAAAUUUAAUUCCAUGAUAAGAAAGGUUCAAGUUGAUAUUUGAGGCCCAAAAAUGAAUGUUUAUGUCUUCAAUGGAAUGGACCACUGAAUUUUUGGGUACAAAUUAAAAGCUGAAGGAAAGAGAGAGACGUCAUCUCGGCCUGUUGGGUGGCCAUCAAAAGUCAUAACGAUGGUAGUUGAACAGGCUUUUAAUGGACUGGAUCUGACCCAUCUCAAUUAUUAACCAACCGUAUUCACCCAAUCCAGCCCACCUACUGAAAAUUUACUCACCCCCUAACCAACCCACAAACCACAGACUUUCGAUCAUACAUAAUAUAUUUAACUUUUUAGUUUUUAGUGAGUGAACUCUUUUUAAGUAUGAAAUUAUUAAUUGUCGGAGUAAACAUUCGUAUCAUAUCCUUCCUCUUUCAAUCAUCUCAACACUACUUUAUCAUGAUUUCAAUUAUUGCAUGUCCAUGCAUAUUUCCGUCCGUACGUCAACAGCAGCUUUGAUUUAUUGAUGUCCACCACCACCACCACCACCCCACCCACCUCCACCACCGAAUCCACCGCCUCCUCCACCUCCAAACCCACCCCCGCCGCCGGCACAUCAGCCUCAACCGCCGCUGGCACCUCCGCCUCCCCCUCCAACUCCACCACCUUUCCCAAAUCCUCCGCCUAUGCCACCACCUGAACCACCGCCAAACCCUCCUCCACCUCCACCGCCCCCACCAAUUCCUCCACCCUUUCCAAACCCACCACCAGAUCCACCUCCGAAACCACCACCCUUGCCAAAUCCACCGCCAGCUCCACCACCAAUGCCGCCUCCCUUGCCGAUUCCACCCCCUACUCCUCCACCCUUGCCAAACCCUCCACCGGUGCCACCACCAGCUCCACCACCCACACCGCCUCCAUCGCCGACUCCUCCACNN
rnacentral:lncRNA from 1 species